AUUGAACGCUGGCGGCAGGCCUAACACAUGCAAGUCGAGCGGAUGAAGGGAGCUUGCUCCUGGAUUCAGCGGCGGACGGGUGAGUAAUGCCUAGGAAUCUGCCUGGUAGUGGGGGAUAACGUCCGGAAACGGGCGCUAAUACCGCAUACGUCCUGCGGGAGAAAGUGGGGGAUCUUCGGACCUCACGCUAUCAGAUGAGCCUAGGUCGGAUUAGCUAGUUGGUGGGGUAAAGGCCUACCAAGGCGACGAUCCGUAACUGGUCUGAGAGGAUGAUCAGUCACACUGGAACUGAGACACGGUCCAGACUCCUACGGGAGGCAGCAGUGGGGAAUAUUGGACAAUGGGCGAAAGCCUGAUCCAGGCAUGCCGCGUGUGUGAAGAAGGUCUUCGGAUUGUAAAGCACGUUAAGUUGGGAGGAAGGGCAGUAAGUUAAUACCUUGCUGUUUUGACGUUACCAACAGAAUAAGCACCGGCUAACUUCGUG
rnacentral:rRNA from 1 species